UCCAGGGUAGCCUAGUGGACAUGGCACCUGCCCGGUAAGCAGAAGGUAUGGGUUCGAUUCCCGCCCCUGGAC